UACGGAAGGCAGCAGUGGGGAAUAUUGCACAAUGGGCGAAAGCCUGAUGCAGCUAUGCCGCGUGUAUGAAGAAGGCCUUAGGGUUGUAAAGUACUUUCAUCGGGGAAGGAAAAACAAAACUAAUAAUUUUAUUUCUUGACGUUACCCGAAAAAGAAGCACCGGCUAACUCCGUGCCAGCAGCCGCGGUAAUACGGAGGGUGCUAGCGUUAAUCAGAAUUACUGGGCGUAAAGAGCACGUAGGUGGUUUUUUUAAGUCAGAUGUGAAUCCCUGGGCUUAACCUAGGAACUGCAUUUUGAAACUGAAAUACUAGAGUAUCGUAGAGGGAGGUAGAAUUCUAGGUGUAGCGGUGAAAUGCGUAGAUAUCUGGAGGAAUACCUGUGGCGAAAGCGGCCUCCUAAACGAAUACUGACACUGAGGUGCGAAAGCGUGGGGAGCAAACAGGGAUUAGAUACC
rnacentral:rRNA from 1 species